rfam:Asian citrus Psyllid, Diaphorina citri - Florida Strain, whole genome shotgun sequence.
CCAGUUGAGAUAGCACGUUGAAGGCACCAGCUCUCCAUGGAUCACUGAAGUUAAGCAACGUUGCGCGUGUUUGGUAUCCGGAUGGGUGAGCAACCGACCAUCCGAGCAAUCGUUUGCCUGGC